UACAGAGGGUGCGAGCGUUAAUCGGAAUUACUGGGCGUAAAGCGCACGUAGGCGGCUUUGCAAGUCCCAUGUGAAAUCCCACGGCUCAACCGUGGAAGUGCAUGGGAAACUGCAGAGCUUGAGUACUUAAGAGGAUCGCGGAAUUCCCGGUGUAGAGGUGAAAUUCGUAGAUAUCGGGAGGAACACCAGUGGCGAAGGCGACUACCUGGCCUGUUCUUGACGCUGAGGCGCGAAAGCUAGGGGAGCAACGGG
rnacentral:rRNA from 1 species